ensembl:lncRNA
GGUUACUCGCAUCUGACAUGGCCUGGCCACUUCCUCAGAGGCUCGUAGCGGCUUUGCUGCUCCUGUGUCUGCUCUAGGUCAGUUUAAACAGUGCUGGAGUGAUCCAUCCCUUAAAGGUUUGGUGGAACCUGAGGGGCCAACCUCAGCCUGCAGCUGGCACCUGAAAAGAAGGCCUCAGUGACUCAGAUGAUUGAUCCCAGCAGGGCAGUUUCCGUGGAGCCGACCAUAAGCCUCAGAGAUGCAGACUCCCACGUCCUUGGGGUGGGACUCUCCCUCCCUCCAUCCUGGA